GACGAACGCUGGCGGCGUGCCUAAUACAUGCAAGUUGAGCGCUGAAGGUUGGUCCUUGUACCAACUGGAUGAGCAGCGAACGGGUGAGUAACGCGUGGGGAAUCUGCCUUUGAGCGGGGGACAACAUUUGGAAACGAAUGCUAAUACCGCAUAAAAACUUUAAACACAAGUUUUAAGUUUGAAAGAUGCAAUUGCAUCACUCAAAGAUGAUCCCGCGUUGUAUUAGCUAGUUGGUGAGGUAAAGGCUCACCAAGGCGAUGAUACAUAGCCGACCUGAGAGGGUGAUCGGCCACAUUGGGACUGAGACACGGCCCAAACUCCUACGGGAGGCAGCAGUAGGGAAUCUUCGGCAAGGGACGAAAGUCUGACCGAGCAACGCCGCGUGAGUGAAGAAGGUUGUCGGAUCGUAAAACUCUGUUGGUAGAGAAGAACGUUGGUGAGAGUGGAAAGCUCAUCAAGUGACGGUAACUACCCAGAAAGGGACGGCUAACUACGUG
rnacentral:rRNA from 1 species